rnacentral:rRNA from 1 species
UACAGGGGGUGCAAACGUUGCUCGGAAUCAUUGGGCGUAAAGCGCACGUAGGCGGUUCGUUAUGUCGGAUGUGAAAGCCCUUGGCUUAACCGAGGAAGUGCAUCCGAAACUGGCGAGCUAGAGUACUAAAGAGGAUCGCGGAAUUCCCGGUGUAGAGGUGAAAUUCGUAGAUAUCGGGAGGAACACCUGUGGCGAAGGCGGUUCUCUGGGCCUGUACUGACGCUGAGGAGCGAAAGCGUGGGGAGCGAACAGG